rnacentral:tRNA from 1 species
GGAAGGUAGCCAGAUACGGUUUGCUGGGCUGCACUGCUAACGCAGUUCUCGUAAAGAGAUGAGGGUUCGACUCCCUUGCCUUCCG